CUACACAUGCAAGUCGAGCGGUAGCACAGGAAGAGCUUGCUCUUUGGGUGACGAGCGGCGGACGGGUGAGUAAUGUCUGGGAAACUGCCUGAUGGAGGGGGAUAACUACUGGAAACGGUAGCUAAUACCGCAUAACGUCGCAAGACCAAAGUGGGGGACCUUCGGGCCUCAUGCCAUCAGAUGUGCCCAGAUGGGAUUAGCUAGUAGGUGAGGUAAUGGCUCACCUAGGCGACGAUCCCUAGCUGGUCUGAGAGGAUGACCAGCCACACUGGAACUGAGACACGGUCCAGACUCCUACGGGAGGCAGCAGUGGGGAAUAUUGCACAAUGGGCGCAAGCCUGAUGCAGCCAUGCCGCGUGUAUGAAGAAGGCCUUCGGGUUGUAAAGUACUUUCAGCGAGGAGGAAGGCGUAUAAGGUUAAUAACCUUAGGCGAUUGACGUUACUCGCAGAAGAAGCACCGGCUAACUCCGUGCCAGCAGCCGCGGUAAUACGGAGGGUGCAAGCGUUAAUCGGAAUUACUGGGCGUAAAGCGCACGCAGGCGGUCUGUCAAGUCGGAUGUGAAAUCCCCGGGCUCAACCUGGGAACUGCAUCCGAAACUGGCAGGCUAGAGUCUUGUAGAGGGGGGUAGAAUUCCAGGUGUAGCGGUGAAAUGCGUAGAGAUCUGGAGGAAUACCGGUGGCGAAAGGCGGCCCCCUGGACAAAGACUGGACGCCUCAG
rnacentral:rRNA from 1 species